UUACGGCUAAAUCACGUUGAAACGCCGGCUCCCGUACGAUCAGCGGAGUUAAGCAACGUCGAGCCUGGCCAGUACCUACAUGGGUGACAGCUUAGGAAUACCAUGUGCUGUAAU